CCUACGGGUGGCUGCAGUGGGGAAUAUUGGACAAUGGGGGCAACCCUGAUCCAGCCAUGCCGCGUGUGUGAAGAAGGCCCUCGGGUUGUAAAGCACUUUCAGUGAGGAAGAACGCCUGGUGGUUAAUACCCAUCAGGAAAGACAUCACUCACAGAAGAAGCACCGGCUAACUCCGUGCCAGCAGCCGCGGUAAUACGGAGGGUGCGAGCGUUAAUCGGAAUUACUGGGCGUAAAGCGCGCGUAGGUGGCUUGAUAAGCCGGUUGUGAAAGCCCCGGGCUCAACCUGGGAACGGCAUCCGGAACUGUCAAGCUAGAGUGCAGGAGAGGAAGGUAGAAUUCCCGGUGUAGCGGUGAAAUGCGUAGAGAUCGGGAGGAAUACCAGUGGCGAAGGCGGCCUCCUGGACUGACACUGACACUGAGGUGCGAAAGCGUGGGUAGCAAACAGGAUUAGAUACCCCAGUAGUC
rnacentral:rRNA from 1 species